GGUUAAGCGACUAAGCGUACACGGUGGAUGCCCUGGCAGUCAGAGGCGAUGAAGGACGUGCUAAUCUGCGAUAAGCGUCGGUAAGGUGAUAUGAACCGUUAUAACCGGCGAUUUCCGAAUGGGGAAACCCAGUGUGAUUCGUCACACUAUCAUUAACUGAAUCCAUAGGUUAAUGAGGCGAACCGGGGGAACUGAAACAUCUAAGUACCCCGAGGAAAAGAAAUCAACCGAGAUUCCCCCAGUAGCGGCGAGCGAACGGGGAGCAGCCCAGAGCCUGAAUCAGUGUGUGUGUUAGUGGAAGCGUCUGGAAAGGCGCGCGAUACAGGGUGACAGCCCCGUACACAAAAAUGCACAUACUGUGAGCUCGAUGAGUAGGGCGGGACACGUGGUAUCCUGUCUGAAUAUGGGGGGACCAUCCUCCAAGGCUAAAUACUCCUGACUGACCGAUAGUGAACCAGUACCGUGAGGGAAAGGCGAAAAGAACCCCGGCGAGGGGAGUGAAAAAGAACCUGAAACCGUGUACGUACAAGCAGUGGGAGCACAGAGCAAUCUGUGUGACUGCGUACCUUUUGUAUAAUGGGUCAGCGACUUAUAUUCUGUAGCAAGGUUAACCGAAUAGGGGAGCCGAAGGGAAACCGAGUCUUAACUGGGCGUUAAGUUGCAGGGUAUAGACCCGAAACCCGGUGAUCUAGCCAUGGGCAGGUUGAAGGUUGGGUAACACUAACUGGAGGACCGAACCGACUAAUGUUGAAAAAUUAGCGGAUGACUUGUGGCUGGGGGUGAAAGGCCAAUCAAACCGGGAGAUAGCUGGUUCUCCCCGAAAGCUAUUUAGGUAGCGCCUCGUGAAUUCAUCUCCGGGGGUAGAGCACUGUUUCGGCAAGGGGGUCAUCCCGACUUACCAACCCGAUGCAAACUGCGAAUACCGGAGAAUGUUAUCACGGGAGACACACGGCGGGUGCUAACGUCCGUCGUGAAGAGGGAAACAACCCAGACCGCCAGCUAAGGUCCCAAAGUCAUGGUUAAGUGGGAAACGAUGUGGGAAGGCCCAGACAGCCAGGAUGUUGGCUUAGAAGCAGCCAUCAUUUAAAGAAAGCGUAAUAGCUCACUGGUCGAGUCGGCCUGCGCGGAAGAUGUAACGGGGCUAAACCAUGCACCGAAGCUGCGGCAGCGACACUAUGUGUUGUUGGGUAGGGGAGCGUUCUGUAAGCCUGUGAAGGUGUACUGUGAGGUAUGCUGGAGGUAUCAGAAGUGCGAAUGCUGACAUAAGUAACGAUAAAGCGGGUGAAAAGCCCGCUCGCCGGAAGACCAAGGGUUCCUGUCCAACGUUAAUCGGGGCAGGGUGAGUCGACCCCUAAGGCGAGGCCGAAAGGCGUAGUCGAUGGGAAACAGGUUAAUAUUCCUGUACUUGGUGUUACUGCGAAGGGGGGACGGAGAAGGCUAUGUUGGCCGGGCGACGGUUGUCCCGGUUUAAGCGUGUAGGCUGGUUUUCCAGGCAAAUCCGGAAAAUCAAGGCUGAGGCGUGAUGACGAGGCACUACGGUGCUGAAGCAACAAAUGCCCUGCUUCCAGGAAAAGCCUCUAAGCAUCAGGUAACAUCAAAUCGUACCCCAAACCGACACAGGUGGUCAGGUAGAGAAUACCAAGGCGCUUGAGAGAACUCGGGUGAAGGAACUAGGCAAAAUGGUGCCGUAACUUCGGGAGAAGGCACGCUGAUAUGUAGGUGAAGCGACUUGCUCGUGGAGCUGAAAUCAGUCGAAGAUACCAGCUGGCUGCAACUGUUUAUUAAAAACACAGCACUGUGCAAACACGAAAGUGGACGUAUACGGUGUGACGCCUGCCCGGUGCCGGAAGGUUAAUUGAUGGGGUUAGCGGUAACGCGAAGCUCUUGAUCGAAGCCCCGGUAAACGGCGGCCGUAACUAUAACGGUCCUAAGGUAGCGAAAUUCCUUGUCGGGUAAGUUCCGACCUGCACGAAUGGCGUAAUGAUGGCCAGGCUGUCUCCACCCGAGACUCAGUGAAAUUGAACUCGCUGUGAAGAUGCAGUGUACCCGCGGCAAGACGGAAAGACCCCGUGAACCUUUACUAUAGCUUGACACUGAACAUUGAGCCUUGAUGUGUAGGAUAGGUGGGAGGCUUAGAAGUGUGGACGCCAGUCUGCAUGGAGCCGACCUUGAAAUACCACCCUUUAAUGUUUGAUGUUCUAACGUUGGCCCCUGAUCGGGGUUGCGGACAGUGUCUGGUGGGUAGUUUGACUGGGGCGGUCUCCUCCUAAAGAGUAACGGAGGAGCACGAAGGUUGGCUAAUCCUGGUCGGACAUCAGGAGGUUAGUGCAAUGGCAUAAGCCAGCUUGACUGCGAGCGUGACGGCGCGAGCAGGUGCGAAAGCAGGUCAUAGUGAUCCGGUGGUUCUGAAUGGAAGGGCCAUCGCUCAACGGAUAAAAGGUACUCCGGGGAUAACAGGCUGAUACCGCCCAAGAGUUCAUAUCGACGGCGGUGUUUGGCACCUCGAUGUCGGCUCAUCACAUCCUGGGGCUGAAGUAGGUCCCAAGGGUAUGGCUGUUCGCCAUUUAAAGUGGUACGCGAGCUGGGUUUAGAACGUCGUGAGACAGUUCGGUCCCUAUCUGCCGUGGGCGCUGGAGAACUGAGGGGGGCUGCUCCUAGUACGAGAGGACCGGAGUGGACGCAUCACUGGUGUUCGGGUUGUCAUGCCAAUGGCACUGCCCGGUAGCUAAAUGCGGAAGAGAUAAGUGCUGAAAGCAUCUAAGCACGAAACUUGCCCCGAGAUGAGUUCUCCCUGACUCCUUGAGAGUCCUGAAGGAACGUUGAAGACGACGACGUUGAUAGGCCGGGUGUGUAAGCGCAGCGAUGCGUUGAGCUAACCGGUACUAAUGAACCGUGAGGCUUAACCUU
rnacentral:rRNA from 1 species